ACCUACGGGGCGCAGCAGUGGGGAAUAUUGGGCAAUGGGCGCAAGCCUGACCCAGCAACGCCGCGUGAAGGAAGAAGGCUUUCGGGUUGUAAACUUCUUUUCUCAGGGACGAAGAAAGUGACGGUACCUGAGGAAUAAGCCACGGCUAACUACGUGCCAGCAGCCGCGGUAAUACGUAGGGAGCAAGCGUUGUCCGGAAUUACUGGGUGUAAAGGGAGCGUAGGCGGGAUGGCAAGUUGGGUGUUAAAUCUACCGGCUCAACUGGUAGUCGCACUCAAAACUGCUAUUCUUGAGUGAAGUAGAGG
rnacentral:rRNA from 1 species